UACGGAGGGUGCAAGCGUUAUCCGGAUUCACUGGGUUUAAAGGGUGCGUAGGUGGGCAGAUAAGUCAGUGGUGAAAUCCUGUAGCUUAACUACAGAACUGCCAUUGAUACUAUUUGUCUUGAAUAUUCUGGAGGUGAGCGGAAUAUGUCAUGUAGCGGUGAAAUGCUUAGAUAUGACAUAGAACAUCUAUUGCGAAGGCAGCUCACUACGGAAAUAUUGACGCUGAGGCACGAAAGCGUGGGGAUCAAAC
rnacentral:rRNA from 1 species